rnacentral:lncRNA from 1 species
CUGGACAUGGGCUGGAAGCAGAAGGGGAUAAAUACAAUAACUUGAUAUAAAGUUAUUGAAAUUAAAUGUUGAUGUAGUGGAUAAGGUUUUAAACGUUUUUUUUCUUCUCUUUUUUUAGGGUAAAUAUCAUGAAAAUUCCUGAACUAUACUCACUUUAUCAAAAAUACUCUGAAACUUUCGAAAUGUUCUCUAAACCCUCAAACUAUCAUAUUUUUAUCAAAUAUAUC